GGGGUUAUGGCUCAGUGGUAGAGCGCGUGCCUGGCAUGCGUGAGGCACUGGGUUCAAUCCCCGGCACCA
rfam:Ictidomys tridecemlineatus contig040003, whole genome shotgun sequence.